rnacentral:snRNA from 1 species
UUCAUAAAUUAUCAGCACAUAUACUAAAAUUGGAAUGAUACAGAAAAGAUUAGUAUGGCCCCGGCACAAGGAUGACACAAAUUGGUGAAGCGGUCCAUAUUUUU